CGGUCCGAUACUGGGAGCCUUGAGGGCAGGAGAGGGAAGUGGAAUUCCCGGUGUAGUGGUGGAAUACGUAGAUAUCGGGAGGAACACCAGUGGCGAAGGCGGCUUCCUGGCCUGUGCCUAACGCUGAGAUGCGAAAGCGUGGGGAGCGAACGGGAUUAGAUACCCCGGUAGUCCACGCUGUAAACGAUGGAUACUAGGUGUUGGUGGCCCUUUACCCCACCAGUGCCGAAGCUAACGCGAUAAGUAUCCCGCCUGGGGACUACGGUCGCAAGACUAAAACUCAAAGGAAUUGACGGGGGCCCGCACAAGCAGCGGAGCGUGUGGUUUAAUUCGGGGCGACACGAAGAACCUUACCUGGGUUUGACAUGCUAGUGGUAGUGACGCGAAAGCCGAACGACCCUUCGGGGAGCUAGCACAGGUGCUGCAUGGUUGUCGUCAGCUCGUGUCGUGAGAUGUUAGGUUAAGUCCUGCAACGAGCGCAACCCCUACCGCUAGUUAAACUUCUCUAGCAGGAUCCGCCGGGGUAACUCGGAGGAAGGUGGGGAUGACGUCAAAUCAGCAUGGCCUUUAUAUCCAGG
rnacentral:rRNA from 1 species